UAAAAUUUUCUGUUAAAUUGCUGACAUGGCACUUGUGCGGAGCCCACACAUUCAAUGGUAUAAAGCCAAGUGGCUUUAAAUAAAAUAAAAUAUAUUUUAAAUCUUUUAAAACUUUUAAUUCAAAAAAAUAAAAAUAAAAACUGCACCAUGACCAUCCCCUCUGUGUCCUCCCUUUGCUAGCGCUGCGCCUCCCCCCUUGCAAACACACUCUUUGCCUCUCUCUC
rnacentral:lncRNA from 1 species